AUUGAACGCUGGCGGCAUGCCUUACACAUGCAAGUCGAACGGUAACAGGUCUUCGGAUGCUGACGAGUGGCGAACGGGUGAGUAAUACAUCGGAACGUGCCUAGUAGUGGGGGAUAACUACUCGAAAGAGUGGCUAAUACCGCAUGAGAUCUACGGAUGAAAGCAGGGGAUCGCAAGACCUUGUGCUACUAGAGCGGCCGAUGUCAGAUUAGGUAGUUGGUGGGGUAAAGGCCCACCAAGCCAACGAUCUGUAGCUGGUCUGAGAGGACGACCGGCCACACUGGGACUGAGACACGGCCCAGACUCCGACGGGAGGCAGCAGUGGGGAAUUGUGGACAAUGGACGCAAGUCUGAUCCAGCCAUGCCGCGUGCGGGAUGAAGGCCUUCGGGUUGUAAACCGCUUUUGUCAGGGAAGAAACGCUCUGGGUUAAUACCUCGGGGUAAUGACGGUACCUGAAGAAUAAGCACCGGCUAACUACGUGCCAGCAGCCGCCGUAACAC
rnacentral:rRNA from 1 species